rnacentral:lncRNA from 1 species
GUUUUUUUUCCAGAAUAUAUGCUAAAAUUAAUACAACCACACCAAGAAAAGUUUAAUGCAAACAAAUACAAACAAUUUUUAGAAAAAGAAAAGUUAAGUGAAAAAGUUAAUAUAAAUAACAUAAAUAUUGAUAAUGAAGAAGAGGUUGAGUUAUACGAAAAUUAUUUAUUAAAUUAUAAAUAUGAUAAAAAAAGAGUUGAAAGAAAUGCUUCUCUUCCUUUAUCCUUAUUAUCUUCUUCAUUCAUAAGAAGAACUAUAUAUUCCAAUAGAGAAGAUGUUUUAACAAAUAUUAAAAAAAUAAACUGGAAAAAGUAUUGCUGCAAUGUCAAAGGUGUGAGGUGGCAUGCUAGUGGAGCGUGGCGUGUUUAUUUUUGUAAAAGAAAUUAUCAACAUAAUUUUUUUGUUAAGUGUAACUGUUACUUUCGUGUAAGUAUUUAUGGAUUUGAAAAAAGCAAAGAGCUCGCUGUUCUUUAUCGGAAAAGGCUUGAAUAUGAGUAUAUCCUACUCAUGAAAAGAUGGAAGCAAAUUGAAAUGGAAAAUGCUCAAAAAAGAAAAGUGAAAAAACAUUUGAAAAACAGUAAUGAAAAUUUUGAGGAAGACACUGAGGAAGAUGAAAAAAAUGGACAACAUAUUAAUGAAAAUUACAAUAAUGAAAAUGACAAUAAUGAAAAUUACAAUAAUGAAAACUACAAUUAUGAAAAUUCAGAAAAUCAAAACCUUAAUUAUUAAAUUUAUUCACAUGAAUAACGUAGUACAAGUUUCAUUCUAAACUUAAAAAAAAAAAAAAAAUACAUACUAUAAAUUAAGUAACUUUUUUUUUUUUUUCCUUUCUUUAACUAAAAUAGCUUUUAAUAUGUGCAUACUCCUCCUUUUUCUAUAUAAUUUUAAUUUGUUACAUACUUGAUUAUUUUUAUAUUUUGCUUAUUAAAGAUAUCAUUAUUUUAUAGACAAUAUAUAUAUAUGUUUACUUAAUUCGAUUUCUCGGUUUUGUAAACCUUAAAAAAACUUCCCCCACUUGUCAAAAUAAA